UACGGGGGGGGCAAGCGUUGUUCGGAAUUACUGGGCGUAAAGGGCUCGUAGGUGGCCAACUAAGUCAGACGUGAAAUCCCUCAGCUUAACUGGGGAACUGCGUCUGAUACUGGAUGGCUUGAGUUUGGGAGAGGGAUGCGGAAUUCCAGGUGUAGCGGUGAAAUGCGUAGAUAUCAGGAGGAACACCGGUGGCGAAGGCGGGUCUCUGGGCAGUAACUGACGCUGAGGAGCGAAAGCGUGGGGAGCGAACAGG
rnacentral:rRNA from 1 species